rnacentral:rRNA from 1 species
GGGGAAUUUUGGACAAUGGGGGCAACCCUGAUCCAGCCAUGCCGCGUGAGUGAAGAAGGCCUUCGGGUUGUAAAGCUCUUUCGGUGGGGAAGAAAUUGCCUGGGAUAAUACCUCAGGUAGAUGACGGUACCCGCAUAAGAAGCACCGGCUAACUACGUGCCAGCAGCCGCGGUAAUACGUAGGGUGCGAGCGUUAAUCGGAAUUACUGGGCGUAAAGCGUGCGCAGGCGGUUGUAUAAGUCGGAUGUGAAAUCCCCGGGCUCAACCUGGGAACUGCAUUUGAGACUGUACGGCUAGAGUGUGGCAGAGGGGGGUAGAAUUCCACGUGUAGCAGUGAAAUGCGUAGAGAUGUGGAGGAAUACCGAUGGCGAAGGCAGCCCCCUGGGCCAAUACUGACGCUCAUGCACGAAAGCGUGGGGAGCAAAC